UACAUGGGGUGCAAACGUUGCUCGGAAUCAUUGGGCGUAAAGCGCACGUAGGCGGCCACUUAAGUCGGAUGUGAAAUCCCUCGGCUUAACCGAGGAAGUGCAUCCGAAACUGAAUGGCUUGAGUACGAAAGAGGGUCGCGGAAUUCCCGGUGUAGAGGUGAAAUUCGUAGAUAUCGGGAGGAACACCGGCGGCGAAGGCGGCGACCUGGUUCGAGACUGACGCUGAGGUGCGAAAGCGUGGGGAGCAAACAGG
rnacentral:rRNA from 1 species